AACGAACGCCGGCGGCAUGCCUAACACAUGCAAGUCGAACGAAGGCUUCGGCCUUAGUGGCGCACGGGUGCGUAACGCGUGGGAAUCUGCCCUUUGGUUCGGAAUAACAGCUGGAAACGGCUGCUAAUACCGGAUGAUGACGAAAGUCCAAAGAUUUAUCGCCAGAGGAUGAGCCCGCGUUGGAUUAGGUAGUUGGUGGGGUAAAGGCCUACCAAGCCGACGAUCCAUAGCUGGUCUGAGAGGAUGAUCAGCCACACUGGGACUGAGACACGGCCCAGACUCCUACGGGAGGCAGCAGUGGGGAAUAUUGGACAAUGGGCGCAAGCCUGAUCCAGCAAUGCCGCGUGAGUGAUGAAGGCCCUAGGGUUGUAAAGCUCUUUUACCCGGGAAGAUAAUGACUGUACCGGGAGAAUAAGCCCCGGCUAACUCCGUG
rnacentral:rRNA from 1 species